AUCAUUGCCCAAAUCGCCAUGAAUAUGCCCGAUCUCAUCAGAUAUUGGAAGAUAAACAGGGCUGAGCCUGGUUAAUGCUUGUAUGGGUGGUCACCAGCGAGUGCUGAUUACUGUAGGUC
rnacentral:rRNA from 1 species